AUUGAACGCUGGCGGCAUGCUUUACACAUGCAAGUCGAACGGUAACAGGCCGCAAGGUGCUGACGAGUGGCGAACGGGUGAGUAAUGCAUCGGAACGUGCCCAGGCGUGGGGGAUAACUACUCGAAAGAGUAGCUAAUACCGCAUACGAUCUAUGGAUGAAAGCGGGGGACCGUAAGGCCUCGCGCGAUUGGAGCGGCCGAUGUCAGAUUAGGUAGUUGGUGGGGUAAAGGCUCACCAAGCCAACGAUCUGUAGCUGGUCUGAGAGGACGACCAGCCACACUGGGACUGAGACACGGCCCAGACUCCUACGGGAGGCAGCAGUGGGGAAUUUUGGACAAUGGGCGCAAGCCUGAUCCAGCAAUGCCGCGUGCAGGAAGAAGGCCUUCGGGUUGUAAACUGCUUUUGUACGGAACGAAACGGCUCUGGUUAAUACCCGGGGCUAAUGACGGUACCGUAAGAAUAAGCACCGGCUACCUACGUG
rnacentral:rRNA from 1 species